UACGUAGGCAGCGAGCGUUGUUCGGAGUUACUGGGCGUAAAGAGUGCGUAGGCGGUUUUCUAAGUUUGGUGUGAAAUCUCCCGGCUCAACUGGGAGGGUGCGCCGAAGACUGGAAGGCUUGAGUAUGGGAGAGGUAAGCGGAAUUCCUGGUGUAGCGGUGAAAUGCGUAGAUAUCAGGAGGAACACCUGCGGUGUAGACGGCUUAGUGGACCAUAACUGACGCUGAGGCACGAAAGCGUGGGUAGCAAACAGG
rnacentral:rRNA from 1 species